rnacentral:rRNA from 1 species
UGAGGAAUAUUGCGCAAUGGGGGAAACCCUGACGCAGCGAUGCCGCGUGGGUGAAGAAGGCCUUCGGGUCGUAAAGCCCUGUCAAGUGGGAAGAACAGCUUGGGGACGAAUAAUCUUCAGGUCUGACGGUACCACUGAAGGAAGCACCGGCUAACUCCGUGCCAGCAGCCGCGGUAAGACGGAGGGUGCGAGCGUUAUUCGGAUUUAUUGGGCGUAAAGAGCGUGUAGGCGGCCGGUCAAGCCAGAUGUGAAAGCCCAGGGCUUAACCCUGGAAGUGCAUUUGGAACUGGUUGGCUUGAGUUCGGGAGAGGGAAGUGGAAUUCCGGGUGUAGAGGUGAAAUUCGUAGAUAUCCGGAGGAACACCGGUGGCGAAGGCGACUUCCUGGACCGAAACUGACGCUGAGACGCGAAAGCGUGGGGAGCAAACAGG